CGAGGCGUGGCGGACGAUGACGCGCGGCGCGCCGACCGCCGCGACAUCGCUGACGCUGAAGGGCCGGCAGGUUCUGGUGCCGGCUGCCGCGG
rnacentral:tRNA from 1 species